rnacentral:rRNA from 1 species
GACGAACGCUGGCGGCGUGCUUAACACAUGCAAGUCGAACGGGCCCGCCCCUGUUUUUGGGGGUGGGUUGAGUGGCGAACGGGUGAGUAUCACGUGAGUAACCUGCCCCCUGCUCCUGGAUAACUGCUUGAAAGGGCGGCUAAUACGGGGUGUGCCGGCUGGUCCGCAUGGGCCUGGUCGGGAUAGUUUCAUCUUCGGGUGUUUCGGUGGGGGAUGGGCUCGCGGCCUAUCAGCUUGUUGGGGGGGUGAUGGCCCACCAAGGCGGUGACGGGUAGCCGGCCUGAGAGGGUGGGCGGCCACACUGGGACUGAGACACGGCCCAGACUCCUGCGGGAGGCAGCAGUGGGGGGUAUUGCACAAUGGGCGGAAGCCUGAUGCAGCGACGUCGCGUGAGGGAUGGAGGCCUUCGGGUGGUGAACCUCUUUCUCCGGUGGUGAAGGCCCUGUCCGUUGCGGCGGGGUUGACGGUAGCCGGGUAUGAAGCGCCGGCUAACUACGUG